rnacentral:lncRNA from 10 species
CAGGGAAGUGAGCAGGCAUGGUCCACCUAGAUGUUUCAAGUAGAAGAAGGAGAUGGUGUUGAGGUGUAGAGAAUGACGAAAGAGUGAAGAAGGGGAGAGAGCAUGAAGUCAAGCUUCAGAAAGUGCAAGCCCUUGCCAGUGACCAGGUGUGGGUGUUUGGCUGUGUCUCAGUCGGGGAUGCGUAGGUAAAAAAGGCAGUGAGGUGUGUUUGGAGAUAAAUGUGCCACUAUGGGCGUAUGUGCCAUUUCUGUGGUGGCUUAUGUACCUCAUGAAACCCUCCUUGGUUCGGGCCCUAAGACAUUGGCCAAAGUUUGCUUUAGGAUUAUGUAUGAGGAAAUACUUUAUCAAUUAAACCGCUAGUGAAAACAAAACACAAGUAGACUCUUUAAACCACUUAAAGGAGUGAAAUGUUCUAGAGACUUCGGAAUAAUGCUUCACAACUGGUGUCCAGGGAAACCAAGGCCCACUGGAGUCUUAGGAAAAAUUUCAGGGAAAUGGGGUUCUGUGGUCAAAUCGUCCCUUGAUACGUCAAUGCAUCUUAGAAAUCUCCAAGAGGGAGAAUAUCAAACAGAAUGUUCCAUCCGACCGCGAAAGCCUUGUUUCCCAUUAGGCACCUAUAAACAUCUCUAGCUUUCCUUUUGACACAAUUUGGAAAGGAUGCUUUGGAAGUAACCAUUUGCUUGAGUGCAAUUUCUAAAGUGAUCAUAACAUUCAUCAAAACAUCUUUACCGCCUAGGUCUAUCAAUAAAGCACUGACAGAAUUGGUAUAACUCAAGUUAACACAUUUUCUUGAACCUAGGAAGCAGCUUUGUCAUUAAACGUAGUUGAUAAUUCAGCAUGUUCCACUUCUUUUCCUAAAUGCUGCCCUUUCUUUAAUAAAAAUUGAUCUGUAUUAAGGGCCUAAAAUCAAGUAAUGAGGAGUGUCAGAUUGGUAAGACAUAACUUAUUUUUGUGUUAUUAAAUGUCAGAGGUCUAAAGUUGAAAUCCAGUGUGAUUUGCAUAUUUUGUAGGAUUGCUUUUUUUUUUUUUUUAAGAACCAUUUUCUGCAUGGCAGAUUCUUGC